rnacentral:rRNA from 1 species
CUGCUGCCUCCCGUAGGAGUUUGGACCGUGUCUCAGUUCCAAUGUGGGGGACCUUCCUCUCAGAACCCCUACGCAUCGUCGGCUUGGUGGGCCGUUGCCCCACCAACUACCUAAUGCGCCGCAUGCCCAUCCGUGACCGGGGUCGCCCCCUUUGACCGGCAGGGGAUGUCCCCUCCCGGCAUUAUGUUGUAUUAGGCGGGAUUUCUCCCGGUUAUCCAUCUGUCACGGCCAGGUUGCAUACGUGUUACUCACCCGUGCGCCGGUCGCCGGCGG